CAUAUUAUUAAUAUAAUAAUGGAUGAAGAUAUAUCUAUAUAUAUUCCUCUACAUAUCAAUAAUAACAAUAGUUGAAGUACAAAUUAAUAAUAAUAGUUGGAUAUAUAUCUAUAUCAAUAUUUAUACUAAAUAAUAGUAAAACAAUCAUAAGAAUAACAGUAAAAGAAUAAUAAUAAGAGUAAAAUAGCAAUAAUAACAACAGUAAAAGACUACUAUAUAAUAAAAGGGAAUCCCAAUGCCCCGGAGAAAUGCCUGGCAUUUCCGGUGUUGCCAGAGAAUCUAUAUCGUCCGCUGCCACGGUUAGUCUUUUUGACUUUAAACUAACACCCUUUUUUCUCUUGACAGACAAAUGGCGUGAAAUAGAACGGCUGUGGGAUCUCAAGAAUUGAAAACUGCCUUUGGGAAGAGAGCGUCAGCGAUGGAUUUCUCCAGGCCGCUCUUUUCCCUCCUCCUGGAAUAUAUUCCCGUUUCAUACUGUGGUCUCUUUGAUUUGUAUUUUAUUUUUAUGUUUUUUUUGUGGGGGGAGCAAAAAAGUCUUUUUUGGCCUUCUUCCACGCAAAAGAUUAGUAGGACAUUUCGGGUGAGGUUGAGGGCCCUUUCAGUACAUAGAGUUAUAUAUAUAUAGCAUUAUGAUCCCGCUUGAAUGGGGAGCAUCCCAUCGAAAGGCUUGCAGGACCGAUCCAAUUCCUAGGGAAAAAACACAGGCCAGUCAAACCGCAGAUAAUGGCUUAUCUGGGUUUUACGUUAUUGGGGCUUUUUUUGCUCUUGCACUUUAGUUCUUAUUUAAACCCGAUCCACAAAAGCAAGGUGUGAGCAGCAGGCUGUGAUCACGCUCCUCCAAAGGGGGCUGGACUCCAUCUCCCAUCAGUCCUGUGCACAACAGUAGGGAAUUAUGGGAGUUGGUGUGAUUUUGGAGCUCCACUCUUCUCUCUUCCCUCCUUCUUUCUUUUUCCGAAGGCAAGGCUAGUAUAAAAAUCAUAACACUGAGGUCUCUAGAGCUCCACUCUUCUCUCCUCCCUACUUUCUCUGAAGGCAAGGCUAGUAUAAAAAUCAUAAAACCAAGGUAUCUAAAGAUCCACUCUUCUCUCCUCCCUUCUUUCUCUGAAGGCAAGGCAGUUGAAGAACUAUAAAAUGGAGAACUUUAAAGCUCCAAUCUUCUCUCCUUUCUUUCUCCGAAGGCUGGUAUAAAAAUCAUAACACUGAGGUUUCUAGAGCUCCACUCUUCUCUCCUCUCUACUUUCUCCAAAGGCAAGGCUAGUAUAAAAAUCAUAAAACCAAGGUAUCUAAAGAUCCAUUUUUCUCCCUUCUUUCUCCGAAGGCAAGGCAGUUGAAGAACUAUAAAAUGGAGGACUCUAAAGCUCCAUUUUUCUCUCCUUUCUUUCUCCGAAGAUAAAGCUAGUAUAAAAAUCAUAACACUGAGGUCUCUAGAGCUCCAUUCUUCUCUCCUCCCUACUUUCUCCAAAGGCAAAGCUAGUAUAAAAAUCAUAAAACCAAGGUAUCUAAAGCUCACUCUUCUCUCCUUUCUCUAGAGGCAAGGCAGUAUACAAUCUAUCAAACUGAGGUCUCUGGAGCUCCACACUUCUCUCCCUUUUUUUCUCUGAAGGCAAGGCAGUUUAAGAACUCUAAAAUUGAGGUCUCUUCGGACCACUCUGCUCUCCUUUUUCUGAGGGCAAGGCAGUAUACAACCUAUCAAAAGGAGUUCUUUAGAACUCCACUGUUCUCUCCCCCUCCCUCCUAAUUUCUCUGAGGGCAAGGCAGUUUAAGAACGAUACAACCGAGAUCUUUGGAGCUCCACUCUUCUCUCAUCCCGUCUUUCUCCAAAGGCAAGACAGUAUACAAUCUAUAAAAUGGGGUUUAGAGCUCCACUGUUCUCUCCACUUCCCUCCUUAUUUCUCCAUAGUCAAGGCAGUUUAAGAACUAUAAAACAGGGAUCUCUGGAGCUCCACUCUUCUCCCCUCCCACCUUCCUUUAUUCAUUGAAGGCAAGGCAGUAUACUGCCUAUCAAAUGGGAUUCCUUAGAACUCCACUUUUCUCUCCUCCCUCCUUUCUCCAAAGGCAAGGCAGUAUACAACGUAUUAAGAGUGGAGGCCUCCUUGUAAAUGACCUUGCCAUCAGAGAAAAGGGAAGGGAAGGGAAGGAGGGGGAGAAUCAAAUCGCUGAUAGUAAAAUCUACAAAUGGAGAGAACCAAUUUGAGUUAGAAUUGCCCAUCAAAUUCCUCUCAAUAAAAAAAUACAGGAAAGCUCCCUUUUUUCCUCUCAAUCUAACUCCCAUUUCAGUGGUUCUACCUAUUCCCUGUUCUAGAUGACCGUCAUCCAAAAGACAGAAUUUGGUUUCUUUUUCCAAUUAAUGAUGUGUUGUUGUUGUUUUUUUAAAAAAAUGUGGCAAAUAAAUUUUCGUGCCUGUUUUUAUCAGUUUUAUGGAUAGGCGAACAUGAUCUUGCGUGUAACUAUAUUUAAGAAAAGGAAAUAAUGUCUGAGGCACAGAGAAAAAGGACUUGUACGUUUCCAAUCUGACCACCUUUUGUAUUUUAUUUUUCAAAAUAAAUGCUUUAACUGUG